rnacentral:lncRNA from 1 species
GUGUUCUCUGUGUUGUCCUUUUGCACAAAUGAUUUUGUCUCUUUAUACCCUUCCAAGAUGGUGAAAAUAGGAAUUAUCACUUAAAAGUUUAGGGACUAUUUCUUGGAGCUGACCGUCAUAUCCUGUGUGAUCUUGAGGUCCUUUGUGGGUGACACAUGGCUUGCUUCCACCACGGCUGUCUGGGUUGGGGGCCUGGCCUGCAUGUCUUCAAAGCUGAUCCCAGCAUGCCCUUCCUCUUUUGGAGACCUCAAGGUCUGGCCAGAGUUUGAACCACACAUGGGGAAGAAGUGAAAUUCAAUUCAUGUUUUCUUAGCAUGACCCCACAGCCAGA